rnacentral:rRNA from 1 species
UAUAACAAUCGAAACCGCAUGGUUUUGAUUUGAAAGGCGCUUUCGGGUGUCGCUGAUGGAUGGACCCGCGGUGCAUUAGCUAGUUGGUGAGGUAACGGCUCACCAAGGCCACGAUGCAUAGCCGACCUGAGAGGGUGAUCGGCCACAUUGGGACUGAGACACGGCCCAAACUCCUACGGGAGGCAGCAGUAGGGAAUCUUCGGCAAUGGACGAAAGUCUGACCGAGCAACGCCGCGUGAGUGAAGAAGGUUUUCGGAUCGUAAAACUCUGUUGUUAGAGAAGAACAAGGAUGAGAGUAACUGUUCAUCCCUUGACGGUAUCUAACCAGAAAGCCACGGCUAACUACGUGCCAGCAGCCGCGGUAAUACGUAGGUGGCAAGCGUUGUCCGGAUUUAUUGGGCGUAAAGCGAGCGCAGGCGGUUUCUUAAGUCUGAUGUGAAAGCCCCCGGCUCAACCGGGGAGGGUCAUUGGAAACUGGGAGACUUGAGUGCAGAAGAGGAGAGUGGAAUUCCAUGUGUAGCGGUGAAAUGCGUAGAUAUAUGGAGGAACACCAGUGGCGAAGGCGGCUCUCUGGUCUGUAACUGACGCUGAGGCUCGAAAGCGUGGGGAGCAAACAGGAUUAGAUACCCUGGUAGUCCACGCCGUAAACGAUGAGUGCUAAGUGUUGGAGGGUUUCCGCCCUUCAGUGCUGCAGCUAACGCAUUAAGCACUCCGCCUGGGGAGUACGACCGCAAGGUUGAAACUCAAAGGAAUUGACGGGGGCCCGCACAAGCGGUGGAGCAUGUGGUUUAAUUCGAAGCAACGCGAAGAACCUUACCAGGUCUUGACAUCCUUUGACCACUCUAGAGAUAGAGCUUCCCCUUCGGGGGCAAAGUGACAGGUGGUGCAUGGUUGUCGUCAGCUCGUGUCGUGAGAUGUUGGGUUAAGUCCCGCAACGAGCGCAACCCUUAUUGUUAGUUGCCAUCAUUCAGUUGGGCACUCUAGCAAGACUGCCGGUGACAAACCGGAGGAAGGUGGGGAUGACGUCAAAUCAUCAUGCCCCUUAUGACCUGGGCUACACACGUGCUACAAUGGGAAGUACAACGAGUUGCGAAGUCGCGAGGCUAAGCUAAUCUCUUAAAGCUUCUCUCAGUUCGGAUUGCAGGCUGCAA